GUCCCUAUCGUCUAGAGGCCUAGGACAUCGCCCUUUCACGGCGGUAACCGGGGUUCGAAUCCCCGUAGGGACG
rfam:Acinetobacter sp. Ver3 contig00021, whole genome shotgun sequence.